rnacentral:rRNA from 1 species
UGGGGAAUAUUGCACAAUGGGCGCAAGCCUUAUGCAGCAACGCCGCGUGAACGAUGAAGGUCUUCGGAUCGUAAAGUUCUGUUGCAGGGGAAGAUAAUGACGGUACCCUGUGAGGAAGCCCCGGCUAACUACGUGCCAGCAGCCGCGGUAAUACGUAGGGGGCUAGCGUUAUCCGGAUUUACUGGGCGUAAAGGGUGCGUAGGUGGUCUUUCAAGUCGGUGGUUAAAGGCUACGGCUCAACCGUAGUUAGCCUCCGAAACUGGAAGACUUGAGUGCAGGAGAGGAAAGUGGAAUUCCCAGUGUAGCGGUGAAAUGCGUAGAUAUUGGGAGGAACACCAGUAGCGAAGGCGGCUUUCUGGACUGCAACUGACACUGAGGCACGAAAGCGUGGGUAGCAAACAGG